rnacentral:rRNA from 1 species
UACGUCAGCGGCCAGACGGGUGAGUAACGCGUGGGAACGUACCUUUUGGUUCGGAACAACACAGGGAAACUUGUGCUAAUACCGGAUAAGCCCUUACGGGGAAAGAUUUAUCGCCGAAAGAUCGGCCCGCGUCUGAUUAGCUAGUUGGUGUGGUAACGGCGCACCAAGGCGACGAUCAGUAGCUGGUCUGAGAGGAUGAUCAGCCACAUUGGGACUGAGACACGGCCAAACUCCUACGGGAGGCAGCAGUGGGGAAUAUUGGACAAUGGGCGCAAGCCUGAUCCAGCCAUGCCGCGUGAGUGAUGAAGGCCCUAGGGUUGUAAAGCUCUUUUGUGCGGGAAGAUUAUGACGGUACCUGCAGAAGCAGCUGCGGCUAACUACGUGCCAGCAGCCGCGGUAAUACGUAGGCAGCGAGCGUUGUUCGGAGUUACUGGGCGUAAAGGGCGCGUAGGCGGCCUGUGCAAGUCAGUUGUGAAAUCUCCGAGCUUAACUCGGAACGGUCAACUGAUACUGCUCGGUAAAGUGCGGAAGGGGCAACUGGAAUUUCUUGGUGUAGCGGUGAAAUGCGUAGAUAUCCAAGGAGGGAACACCUUGGGGAAGGCGGGUUGCUGGGCCGACAUGACGCUUG